rnacentral:rRNA from 1 species
CCUACGGGAGGCAGCAGUGAGGGAUAUUGGUCAAUGGACGCAAGUCUGAACCAGCGAUGCCGCGUGCAGGAAGACGGCUCUAUGAGUUGUAAACUGCUUUUGUACGAGGGUAAACGCAGAUACGCGUAUCUGUCUGAAAGUAUCGUACGAAUAAGGAUCGGCUAACUCCGUGCCAGCAGCCGCGGUAAUACGGAGGAUUCAAGCGUUAUCCGGAUUUAUUGGGUGUAAAGGGUGCGUAGGCGGUCGGAUAAGUUAGAGGUGAAAUCCCGAGGCUCAACUUCGGAAUUGCCUCUGAUACUGUGCGGCUAGAGAGUAGUGGCGGUAGGCGGAAUGUAUGGUGUAGCGGUGAAAUGCUUAGAGAUCAUACAGAACACCGAUUGCGAAGGCAGCUUACCAAGCUACGUCUGACGUUGAGGCACGAAAGCGUGGGGAGCAAACAGGAUUAGAUACCCCAGUAGUC